UCUGGGUAUGGUGGCACAUGCCUGUAGUCCCAGCUACUCAGGAGGCUGAGGUAGGAGGAUCGCUUGAGCUCAGGAGUUCUGGGUUGUAGUACACUAUGCCGAUCGGGUGUCUGCACCAAGUUCAGCAUCAAUAUUGUGACCUCCUGGGAGCCGGGGACCACCAGGUUGCCUAAGGAGGGGUGAAGCAGCCCAGGUUGGAAAUGGAGCAGGUAAAAACUCCCUUGCUGAUCAGUAAUGGGAUCAUGCCUGUGAAUAGCCACUGCUUUCCAGCCUGGGCAACAUAAUGAGAUCCUGUCUCUA
ensembl:misc_RNA Metazoa_SRP Metazoan signal recognition particle RNA